CCAACAGUGACCAAAUGGGUCAAACAACGAACGAGCCGCAGUGACAGCUGAGGUUCAGUUUUACUGAGGGAAACUUAAACUCUGGCUGUAAUCCGACAACAAACGACAAUUAAAGAAACAUGACACACAUUUGGCACAGCACCCACACUAGGAGGCCGUGAAAAGAACUUCAGGAGCAGGGAACGGUGAACUUGAUGGGCUCACAUUAAACAAGAUUGUGUCCUAACUGGUCAGCCUUUCUCCAAGAGCACAUUGUUGCCUUCUUUGCUCAGCCAAACCCCCUGUCCUGUGCUCUUUCUCUGAGCCACCAGGGGACAGAGUUGGCCUUUGCUUUCCAGCUUCUGUCAAUCUGUCCUAUACUCC